UUCCGGUUGAUCCUGCCGGAGGUCACUGCUAUCGGGGUUCGAUUAAGCCAUGCGAGUCGAGAGGGUUCGGCCCUCGGCGUACUGCUCAGUAACACGUGGAUAACCUGCCCUAGGGGAGGGGAUAACCCCGGGAAACUGGGGAUAAUACCCUAUAGGUUACAGAUGCUGGAAUGCCCUGUAACCAAAAGCUCCGGCGCCCUAGGAUGGAUCUGCGGCCGAUUAGGUUGUUGUUGGGGUAACGGCCCAACAAGCCCGUAAUCGGUACGGGUUGUGGGAGCAAGAGCCCGGAGUUGGAUUCUGAGACACGAAUCCAGGCCCUACGGGGCGCAGCAGGCGCGAAACCUUUACAAUGCGGGCAACCGUGAUAAGGGAACCUCGAGUGCCUGUAAACGCAGGCUGUUCAGGUGUUUAAAACGCACCUGGAGAAAGGGCCGGGCAAGACCGGUGCCAGCCGCCGCGGUAAUACCGGCGGCUCGAGUGGUGGCCGCUCUUAUUGGGAUUAAAGCGUUCGUAGCUGGGUUGUUAAGUCUCUUGGGAAAUCUGGCGGCUUAACCGUCAGGCGUCUAAGGGAUACUGGCAAUCUUGGAACCGGGAGAGGUGAGGGGUACUUCGGGGGUAGGGGUGAAAUCCUGUAAUCCUCGAGGGACCACCUGUGGCGAAGGCGCCUCACCAGAACGGCUUCGACAGUGAGGGACGAAAGCUGGGGGAGCAAACCGGAUUAGAUACCCGGGUAGUCCCAGCCGUAAACGAUGCGCGUUAGGUGUAUCGGUGACCACGAGUUACCGAGGUGCCGAAGGAAACCGUGAAACGCGCCGCCUGGGAAGUACGGUCGCAAGGCUGAAACUUAAAGGAAUUGGCGGUGGAGCACCACAACGGGUGGAGCCUGCGGUUUAAUUGGAGUCAACGCCGGGAAUCACUAGUGCGGCCGCCUGCAGGUCGACCAUAUGGGA
rnacentral:rRNA from 1 species